rnacentral:rRNA from 1 species
UACGUAGGGGGCAAGCGUUGUCCGGAAUCAUUGGGCGUAAAGAGCGUGUAGGCGGCCCGGUAAGUCCGCUGUGAAAGUCCAGGGCUCAACCCUGGGAUGCCGGUGGAUACUGUCGGGCUCGAGUCCGGAAGAGGAGUGUGGAAUUCCUGGUGUAGCGGUGAAAUGCGCAGAUAUCAGGAGGAACACCAAUGGCGAAGGCAGCUCGCUGGGACGGUAUUGACGCUGAGACGCGAAAGCGUGGGGAGCAAACAGG